CCUACGGGGGGCAGCAGUGAGGAAUAUUGGUCAAUGGACGAGAGUCUGAACCAGCCAAGUAGCGUGAAGGAUGACUGCCCGAUGGGUGGUAAACUUCUUUUAUAAAGGAAUAAAACGAGGCACGUGUGCCGUUUUGCAUGUACGUUAUGAAUAAGGAUCGGCUAACUCCGUGCCAGCAGCCGCGGUAAUACGGAGGAUCCGAGCGUUAUCCGGAUUUAUUGGGGUGAAAGGGAGCGGAGAUGGGUUGUUAAGUCAGUUGUGAAAGUUUGCGGCUCAACCGUACAAUUGCCAGUGAUACGGGCAGUCUUGUGUACAGUUGAGGUCGGCGUACUUCGUGUUGUAGCUG
rnacentral:rRNA from 1 species